rnacentral:rRNA from 1 species
UAUUAUGAGAGUUUGAUCCUGGCUCAGGAUGAACGCUGGCGGCGUGCCUAACACAUGCAAGUCGAGCGAAGGAUAUAUAAAGAAAUCUUCGGAUGGAUUUAUAUAAACUUAGCGGCGGAUGGGUGAGUAACGCGUGAGAAAUCUACCAUGCACUAGGGGAUAGCCUCGGGAAACUGGGAAUAAUACCCUAUGACACUUACAUUUCACAUGAAAAGUAAGUUAA